CUCCACUAUCAUCAAAUGUUCAACUACAAUAUCACAAUAUCAAACUUCCAACAAGCAUUCAACUCCAACAAGGCUAACAAUAUAUAAUCUUUAGCAAAAGAGAGAAAAAUGAGAGAACAUCACCAAAAAAUGCAGCUGCUGAAAAAUGGGUAUUUCCAACGCUACAAGGCUCGGAUGAAAAAUCCGACCGUAUAGAGUCAAGAACACCUUAUCGCCUAGCUGCUGUCCAAAAAUCAGCUCAAUCGAACCACGGAUGAACCUUUGAUUGAAGAGUUGAUCACUGUUGCACCAAACUUUAAAAGCUAAAAUUUUUCUUCUCUCUUUUCUUUCUGUUUUAAUUUGAGAUUUUUG
rnacentral:lncRNA from 1 species